rnacentral:rRNA from 1 species
UACGUAGGGUGCAGGCGUAAUCGGAAUCACUGGGCGUAAAGCGCACGUAGGCGGAUCUUUAAGUCAGGGGUGAAAUCCCAAGGCUCAACCUUGGAACUGCCUUUGAUACUGGGGAUCUCGAGUCCGGAAGAGGUUGGUGGAACUGCGAGUGUAGAGGUGAAAUUCGUAGAUAUUCGCAAGAACACCAGUGGCGAAGGCGGCCAACUGGUCCGGUACUGACGCUGAGGUGCGAAAGCGUGG